GGGCACACGAGACAGAGUCAGUUAAUCCAACAAAGAAGAAAGAUGGUGGUCACAAGACUGCAUUUGACACAAAGUGGCAACAAAACCGUCCCUGGUCGAGGAAAUCAGAAGAUGACAAAAAGAAGGGAAUGAAAGCAGAAAUGGACUUAAUGUCGACCAAACACAGAUUGAGUGGAGUCAAGUAAAGGAGCUUGACACCAGUUCACCCUCCACCAUUUUGAAGACUCAAGCCUCAAAUUGGAAACUUGAAUCAAAAAAUUGUUCAAUUACCUUGAUUACUGUCCAUUCAUGCAACUGUGAUUGUCCACUUCUGAAGUUGAGAGAGUGUUCUCAAAAGUGAAACUGAUUGUGACAGAUCAUAGAAACAGACUCACUGUUCAAAAUUGCAACAGACUUCUCAUGAUUAGCCUGAAUGCAUCGUCAGUUUCAGACAUUGACUUGAUGAAAGUUGUGAACAGAUACUUGGCAAGAAAGAACAGAAGACUGU